AAGAAACUGUUCAUUUGCCAUGACUGAAAACUUUGUGUGUGUGCUUCCUUGCUCCAAGACACACAUACAGCAAGGGGGAGGGGACAGCCGUCACCUGGGUUCUGCCCCAGACCUCCAAAGGAGCAGUUCUCCUGAGUCCUCCGGAAGGAAAAGGGGGCUGGUCCUGGUCCCCCAGCCGGCUAGCCGGCACUGCUGACGGCUAACAAAGGAAGGAGCCCUCCGCCCAAGGCCUAAGAAGAGGGGACACAUGCAGCAUCCAGCCUUCCCACCAAGGACCACCAGGACAGUGGCCUCAAGUGGCCGAGCUGGUCGGUGCCGACUUGGCCGGAAGCCUGUAAGCUGCUUACCAACUCGGCCAAAAGCCUUUUUUUUUUUUUUUUUAAUGGCGAUGGCGGCUCGACGUCGCUCUUUGAUCCUUGGAUGUCGGCUCUUCCUAUCAUUGUGAAGCAGAAUUCACCAAGCGCUGGAUUAUUCUCCCACUAAUAGGGAACGUGAGCUGGGAUUAGACCGUCGUGAGACAGGAGCCACCUCCACUCAGGAACCAACAACUGGAACUCCACCAUCCACCGCCACAGAGGAAUAUCAAACUACACUCAUGCGGGGUCAACGUGACUUCCUCAACCAUCGUCCACCCAGUAAGGUGUAGCUGAUGUCUGAUGUAACAUCCAUCAGCAGUGAUGGCGUCCUCAUGACCAUUAAAGGUACAGAUGGAGACGUCUUCUGGGACUAAACAUCUCCAGAUCACCUUCACCAUGGGUCACUGCUUCAUUUAAAAUCAUCUUCUCAAUUAAUACCAUCUUCUUCAUUUAGAAUUAUAUUCUUAAUUAAAAGACAUCAAUG